CAGACUUAAGCCCGCUGGAUGGGGUGCUUAGCUGUUAACUAAGAGAUUACGGGAUCAAGGCCCGUUUGUCUGG
rnacentral:tRNA from 1 species